rnacentral:ncRNA from 1 species
GUAGCUAGGGGCGCAGUUUAAAACUGCUGAGAGGAAGUUUCCGACCCUUUGAACCUGAGACGGUUAGUACCGGCGUAGGAAAGCGCAUUUUG